AUCCAGCUAACGAGUCCCAAAUGGGAUGAAACACGCGUCCUGGAU
rnacentral:hammerhead_ribozyme from 1 species